GAGACAGAAGGAUUAUAAACGACCUCGAAAAUGCUCAAAAUAAACUUAAAAAAUAGGAGGAAAAACAAAUGCUUUUUACUUUCUUGUCAUGUGUUGAAAGUCUCUAAUGCGCGUCGUCAUCUUUUGAUGAUAUUCUAGAGGUUUUCUUGCCUCGAUAACUUAAAAUUUAACCUCUCAAUUACCUUACAGAAUAAUGUUUUCACAGAAGUUUCGUGAAAUCAAUGGCCAAAGUGCGAAAUCACGUAUCCUCGUUGGACGGACGUUGCAAGACUUAAUGUGGUCAUUAAUUUUUUUUUGUGUGUGGAAAAGUAGAGAACGUAAUCUCUUGAAGACUUCCUCGGGGUUUCGUAUUUGUCAGUAAUACUCUGUGUAGAUUUCAAGUCAUGAAGUUGGCGUGCUUCUCUCCGAAAAAAUAAAAUAGAGGCGGAAAUUUUUAAACAUCGCAAUGGAGAUACGUGGUUUUACCGUUUAGCCAUCGAAAUACCGUUACUUAAUUGUUUCACUUUAAGAAAUUGAAAAAUAAAAAUUGUCGAAUUAGCAGACUCUCAAUCGGAGGUACCUGUGCAUUUUACGAAACUUUCAUCAAUAUAUUUUUAUACAAAAUAUUUGUUAGUUUUAUUUUAGAUGAUAUUUUAGUUUUGCUGAUAAAGUAAGGGAAAUCUUGAUAGAAACAUAUUUAUCAUAUUCUGAAGUUGGUUGCAUAACUUGCAUAUAAUUGAGUCAUUCCAAGUGUUUUUCACUCCUUAAAUGUAGGUACCUAACAAAAGAUAAUUUUGUAAAAAUUUUCAUUUUACUAAACAUUAUAUUCAAUUUUUUUCCAGUUGAAAUUUCGGAUCGAAAAAUGCGGAGACAAGGGAAACCCAAAUUCGUGCGAAUAUUACACUACUUGGAAGUGGGAUGAAUGCAUGUACUACACUGAAUGUGCUGCCAUUUACGAGGAGUUUUUUAAUGCUCACGUGCCAAACUUAACUCCUGCCCUUUACAAAAAGAGUGUCUACGAGAUAAGGAAUUAUACGGUGCGAUCGGAUACGAUGUUGAAUUUGUUUCAAACUGGUAACGGCAACUCUCUCUGGAAAUUCCGUGUUGUGACAGCCAAAGAUAAACGGAGGAAAUUAUCUCUUGUGUGAAAUGCAGUUUUCGGUUUGCGACGAUCAGGAAAAAACUUUGACUGUUACAAUUCAAGCAAAUCCUCAUCUUUUUGAGUAGCUUAUAUAAGCUAAAAGAAAAAAAAUCACCUACAAUCUUUAGUUGUUGUUAACAUUCGUUAAAAUUCCCCACAUUAGCUUGAUUUUGAUAAAACGCUAAAAUUGUGCUUGGUCCCGAGUCCCUUUUGUCCCCCUGCCUCCCCCCCCCCCGACGGCCCUUGUGCAGGGGCCUCCAAGUUUUGACGCAUCUAUACUUUUACUUUUAGGAGAGCACUCGUUCAAGAGCGGAAGAAAUCCUACGUACUUUCAAGAGAUAUGGUUUUCUUAAAAUUAUAUAAUAAAAAAUAAUAACUAAAAAAAGUAAGUAAUGAAAAUAAAUCAUAAAGAAAAUUCAUAGGAAAUUCGCAUCGGCAAAAAUCAAAGCGAAUAUUUUUCGACCUCCGCCAUUGAUAUGGGCAUAACUGGACUUCAUUUUGCAAUUAGGACUAUACAGUUUCUGGCUCAUCUAUAAAACACGUUUAUGCAUAGGGAACCCAAGGACCAUGCGUUGUUUUUAAACUGAGAAAGGAAUUGUAGUUCCAAAUUGCAAAAAUUUGCUCCUUUUA
rnacentral:lncRNA from 1 species